rnacentral:rRNA from 1 species
UACGUAGGGCGCAAGCGUUGUCCGGAAUUAUUGGGCGUAAAGAGCUCGUAGGCGGUUUGUCGCGUCUGCUGUGAAAACCUAAGGCUCAACCUCGGGCCUGCAGUGGGUACGGGCAGACUAGAGUGCGGUAGGGGAGACUGGAAUUCCUGGUGUAGCGGUGAAAUGCGCAGAUAUCAGGAGGGAACACCGGUGGGCGAAAGGCGGGUCUCUGG